rnacentral:rRNA from 1 species
GGCAGACGGGAGAGUAAUACUUUGGUAACCUGCCUCUUAGUCGUGAAUAACAUCGAAAGAUGGGAUAAUACACGAUGGCCUAGAUAUUCGAGAGAAUAUUUAGUAAAGAUUUAUCGCUAAGAGAGGGGCCUAAGGCCUAUCAGCUAGUUGGUGAGAUAAUAGCCCACCAAGGCAACGACGGGUAGCAGGUGUGAGAGCAUGACCUGCCCCACUGGGACUGAGACACUGCCCAGACACCUACGGGUGGCUGCAGUUAAGAAUAUUCCACAAUGCGCGAAAGCGUGAUGGAGCGACGCCGCGUGAAUGAUGAAGUCCUUCGGGAUGUAAAGUUCUUUUAUUAGGGAAAAAUUUUGAUGUUACCUAAUGAAUAAGGGGCUGCUAACUUCGUGCCAGCAGCAGCGGUAAUACGAAGGCCCCGAGCGUUAUCCGGAUUUACUGGGUGUAAAGGAUCUGUAGAUGGUUUGAUAAGUUAGUCGUAAAAACUUUUAGCUUAACUAAAUUUCUGCGGCUAAUACUAUUUGACUAGAGGACGGAAGAGGUAAGCGGAAUUGGUGGUGCAGUUGUAAUAAGCGUUAAUAUCACCAAGAACACCAAAAGCGAAGGCAGCUUACUAGUACGUUCCUGACAUUGAGAGAUGAAAGCGUGGGUAGCGAAACGGAUUAGAUACCCGUGUAGUCCACGCCCUAAACGAUGAGUGCUAAGUAUUGGAAGUAUCGACCCUUUCAGUACUGUCUUAUUCAAGCUAAGCACUCCACCUGGGAAGUACGGCCGCAAGGCUAAAACUCAAAGGAAUUGACGGGGACCCGCACAAG